rnacentral:rRNA from 1 species
GCGUGGCGGCAGCUACACAUGCAAGUCGACGGUAACAGGAAGCAGCUUGCUGCUUUGCUGACGAGUGGCGGACGGGUGAGUAAUGUCUGGGAAACUGCCUGAUGGAGGGGGAUAACUACUGGAAACGGUGGCUAAUACCGCAUAACGUCGCAAGACCAAAGAGGGGGACCUUCGGGCCUCUUGCCAUCAGAUGUGCCCAGAUGGGAUUAGCUUGUUGGUGAGGUAACGGCUCACCAAGGCGACGAUCCCUAGCUGGUCUGAGAGGAUGACCAGCCACACUGGAACUGAGACACGGUCCAGACUCCUACGGGAGGCAGCAGUGGGGAAUAUUGCACAAUGGGCGCAAGCCUGAUGCAGCCAUGCCGCGUGUAUGAAGAAGGCCUUCGGGUUGUAAAGUACUUUCAGCGGGGAGGAAGGUGUUGUGGUUAAUAACCGCAGCAAUUGACGUUACCCGCAGAAGAAGCACCGGCUAACUCCGUGCCAGCAGCCGCGGUAAUACGGAGGGUGCAAGCGUUAAUCGGAAUUACUGGGCGUAAAGCGCACGCAGGCGGUCUGUCAAGUCGGAUGUGAAAUCCCCGGGCUCAACCUGGGAACUGCAUUCGAAACUGGCAGGCUUGAGUCUUGUAGAGGGGGGGUAGAAUUCCAGGUGUAGCGGUGAAAUGCGUAGAGAUCUGGAGGAAUACCGGUGGCGAAGGCGGCCCCCUGGACAAAGACUGACGCUCAGGUGCGAAAGCGUGGGGAGCAAACAGGAUUAGAUACCCUGGUAGUCCACGCCGUAAACGAUGUCUACUUUGGAGGUUGUGCCCUUGAGGCGUGGCUUCCGGAGCUAACGCGUUAAGUAGACCGCCUGGGGGAGUACGGCCGCAAGGUUAAAACUCAAAUGAAUUGACGGGGGCCCGCACAAGCGGUGGAGCAUGUGGUUUAAUUCGAUGCAACGCGAAGAACCUUACCUGGUCUUGACAUCCACAGAAUUCUGCAGAGAUGCAGAAGUGCCUUCGGGAACUGUGAGACAGGUGCUGCAUGGCUGUCGUCAGCUCGUGUUGUGAAAUGUUGGGUUAAGUCCCGCAACGAGCGCAACCCUUAUCCUUUGUUGCCAGCGGUUAGGCCGGGAACUCAAAGGAAACUGCCAGUAAA